UACCUGAUUGAUUCUGUCAGCGCGAUAUGCUCAAGUAAAAGAUUAAGCCAUGCAUGCUUUGAUUCAUAAAUGAAAUUGCGUACGGCUCAUUAGAGCAGAUAUCACCUUUCUCGGAAUCCUGAAAAGGAUAACUGCGGAAAUUCUGGAGCUAAUACAUGCGACAAUACUCCAACGCAAGGCGGGGUGCAAUUAUUAGAACAGACCAAACGUUUUCGGACGUUGUUUGUUGACUCUGAAUACCGUCGUUUACUGUCAGUUUCGACUGACUCUAUCCGAGAAGGGUGUCUGCCCUUUCAACUAGAUGGUAAUCUAUUGGACUACCAUGGUUGUUACGGGUAACGGAGAAUUAGGGUUCGACUCCGGAGAGGGAGCCUUAGAAACGGCUACCACGUCCAAGGAAGGCAGCAGGCGCGAAACUUAUCCACUGUUGAGUAUGAGAUAGUGACUAAAAAUAUAAAGACUCAUCCUUUUGGAUGAGUUAUUUCAAUGAGUUGAAUAUAAAUUAUUCUUCGAGUAGCAAGGAGAGGGCAAGUCUGGUGCCAGCAGCCGCGGUAAUUCCAGCUCUCCUAGUGUAUCUCGUUAUUGCUCCGGUUCAAAAGCUCGUAGUUGCAUCUAGGUUACGUGCCGCAGUUCGCAAUUUGCGUUAACUG
rnacentral:ncRNA from 1 species